AUUGAACGCUGGCGGCAGGCCUAACACAUGCAAGUCGAACGGUAACAGGAAGAAGCUUGCUUCUUUGCUGACGAGUGGCGGACGGGUGAGUAAUGUCUGGGAAACUGCCUGAUGGAGGGGGAUAACUACUGGAAACGGUAGCUAAUACCGCAUAACGUCGCAAGACCAAAAAGGGGGACCUUCGGGCCUCUUGCCAUCGGAUGUGCCCAGAUGGGAUUAGCUAGUAGGUGGGGUAACGGCUCACCUAGGCGACGAUCCCUAGCUGGUCUGAGAGGAUGACCAGCCACACUGGAACUGAGACACGGUCCAGACUCCUACGGGAGGCAGCAGUGGGGAAUAUUGCACAAUGGGCGCAAGCCUGAUGCAGCCAUGCCGCGUGUAUGAAGAAGGCCUUCGGGUUGUAAAGUACUUUCAGCGGGGAGAAAGGGAGUAAAGUUAAUACCUUUGCUCAUUGACGUUACCCGCAGAAGAAGCACCGGCUAACUCCGUG
rnacentral:rRNA from 1 species